UAAGGUGAUCAAACAAUUGUCUACUUGUCACAUAAAAAGGAAGAAAAAAAUGGCUGAAACGCUAAAGGUUGUUUACACUAUGAUCCUUUUAGUGUCCCUAUUUCUUCUUUUAGUUGCUGUUGGUGGUAAGUUUAUUCUCAUAUUUUCUUGUUAAACAAAACCUUCCAUCAUUUUGAAACAACAUUUGUUUAUUUUUAUUUUACCUUACAUCAAAACAUAGUUGUAAGUUAGACACUGGUUGUAAAAAAUAUCGGUGUCCCCCUCUCCAAUUGAUGAUUUGCCUUGAUCGUCAUUGUCAAUGUACAAGCUAUCCUUAAAUUUGGUGAUGACAAGAAAUCAACGGAGCUUUUCUUGUGAUAAUGGUGUUUUUUCAGUACUGUUGAUUUUGUUAUAUGAGUGGAGAUCUUAAAAAUAGACAAAAUUCAAUAAAUAAUUUAUAUAACACUUUAUAAUUGCUCUACAAA